rnacentral:tRNA from 1 species
GGGGAUGUAGCUCAGUGGUAGAGUGCUUGCCUAGCAUGCAUGAGGCCCUGGGUUCAAUCCCCAGCAAUGCAA